CCUACGGGAGGCAGCAGUGGGGGAUAUUGCACAAUGGGGGGAACCCUGAUGCAGCGACGCCGCGUGGGUGAAGAAGCGCCUCGGCGCGUAAAGCCCUGUCAGCAGGGAAGAAAAUGACGGUACCUGAAGAAGAAGCACCGGCCAACUACGUGCCAGCAGCCGGGGCAAUAAGUGGGGGGCAAGCGUUAUCCGGAUUUACUGGGUGUAAAGGGGGCGCAGACGGCGAUGCAAGCCAGGAGUGAAAGGCCGGGGCCCAACCCCCGGACUGCUUUUGGAACUGGGUGGCUUGAGUGCGGGAGGGGCAGGCGGAAGUCCUGGUGUAGCGGUGAAAUGCGUAGAUAUCAGGAGGAACACCGGUGGCGAAGGCGGCCUGCUGGACUGCAACUGACGUUGAGGCCCGAAAGCGUGGGGAGCAAACAGGAUUAGAUACCCGGGUAGUC
rnacentral:rRNA from 1 species